rnacentral:rRNA from 1 species
GGCCUACCAUGGUGGUAACGGGUAACGGGGUGUUAGGGCACGACACCGGAGAGGGAGCCUGAGAAACGGCUACCACAUCCAAGGAUGGCAGCAGGCGCGCAAAUUACCCAAUCCCGACACGGGGAGGUAGUGACAAUAAAUAACAAUACGGGGUUCUUUCGGAUCUCGUAAUUGGAAUGAGUACAAUUUAAAUCUCUUAACGAGGAACAAUUGGAGGGCAAGUCUGGUGCCAGCAGCCGCGGUAAUUCCAGCUCCAAUAGCGUAUAUUAAAGUUGUUGCAGUUAAAAAGCUCGUAGUUGAAUUUCGGGGUUAGUAGGUUGGUCAUGCCUCUGGUAUGUACUGGUCUCACUGAUUCCUCCUUCCUGAUGAACCGUAAUGCCAUUAAUUUGGUGUUGCGGGGAAUUUGGACUGUUACUUUGAAAAAAUUAGAGUGUUUAAAGCAAGCUAACGCUUGAAUACAUUAGCAUGGAAUAAUGAAAUAGGACGUUCGAUCCUAUUUUGUUGGUUUCUAGGAUUGACGUAAUGAUUAAUAGGGAUAGUUGGGGGCAUUAGUAUUCAAUUGUCAGAGGUGAAAUUCUUGGAUUUAUUGAAGACUAACUACUGCGAAAGCAUUUGCCAAGGAUGUUUUCAUUAAUCAAGAACGAAAGUUGGGGGCUCGAAGACGAUCAGAUACCGUCCUAGUCUCAACCAUAAACGAUGCCGACCAGGGAUCGGCGGAUGUUGCUUUUAGACUCCGCCGGCACCUUAUG